AUGGCCAUUCCUGGCUUGCAGCCCACAUGGAUGGUUUGCCAGACAGAAUCAAAGUGCAGCCUCCAGAGUCUGGCUUCCUGCACUCAGCACGGGGGCACCCCUGUGCGCCGGUACAGUGGUCGCCCCCAUCACCUUGGGCGAUCAAUCCGUUUUUGUGCCUGUGGUACUGCUGAGGACGUCUGGGCACUCUCGAGGUUUCCACGGUCACAGAGUCCUGCUAUGGACACUCUGCCCUCCUGGUCUGCGUGUGCACACUCUUCUCCUGGGGCGUCUCUGGGUUCUGGGAGCAUCUCUGGAUGUCUCUGGGCCCUGGGGCAUCUCUGGGUCCCCAGAGUGUCCCUGGGUCUCAGGACGACUCUUGGUCCCGGGGUGUCUCUGAGUCCCGGGGCAACUCUGGGUCCUGGGGCAUCUCUGAGUCCUGGGGCAUCUCUGGGUCCCGGGGUGUCUCUGGGUCCCGGGGCAUCUCUGGGUCCCGGGAUGUCUCUGAGUCCUGGGGCAACUCUGGGUCCUGGGGUGUCUCUGGGUCUUGGGGUUUUUCUGGGUCCUGGGGCAUCUCUGGGUCAGGGGUGGUCUCUGGGUCCUGGGGUGUCUCUGGGUCCUGGGGCGUCUCUGGGUCCCGGGUGGUCUCAGGGUCCGGGGGCAUGUGCGUUCAGCUUUAGUAGACAGAUUCCCAGGCAACUUCACUUUCACCCUGUCCCUAUUUUCUGCCUCCUGCCCGACUCCCCCAUCUUCCCCUCUCCUAGCAAGCUGGCUCGCCCACCCCAGCAUCUUCCCCUUCGGGCUGGACCAGACGAGGCCUUGGCUUUAGGGGGAAAGGGAACCCCAGGCCACCGGCCCAGUGUGGAAGGGAAGGCAGGAAGGCCUGGGGGCACCUGCUGCAGACCCUCCAGAGCCUUCCUCCUCGACCCGACCCCAGAGCCAGAGCCGAGGUCCAGGCAGGGCCGCAGUCGCCUGGCGUCGGGGGCGGAGCGGCCAGGGGAGUCCUGCGCUCGGAGUUUUCUAAGGGGACCCGCCGAGCAGGAACUCAGCCCGCACAUUCGGACAAUGCAUUCUUGUGAAUCUUUGUCCCGCGGCUUAGCGGCCACAAAAAGAGGACCAUUGUCCAGGCGCCUGUUUACUGGGUGGGAGUCAGCAAUGUGCAGUGCAAGUGGGCAGAGCAAAUGUGGAUCAGAGGCUCCGGGGCCUCGGCCCUCGCUGGGGCGGGUGCUCCCCAGGCCUUUGAAAGCCAGAUGCUUCCCCUCCAACCUGACCCCCCUCUGGAGAGUGCUUUUGCCAGGUUUCGUGCAAUCGCUCAUUCAAGGAACACUUAGGCACUAA
rnacentral:lncRNA from 12 species